rnacentral:rRNA from 1 species
UUGCUCCUUUGACGUUAGCGGCGGACGGGUGAGUAACACGUGGGUAACCUACCUAUAAGACUGGGAUAACUUCGGGAAACCGGAGCUAAUACCGGAUAAUAUUUCGAACCGCAUGGUUCGAUAGUGAAAGAUGGCUCUGCUAUCACUUAUAGAUGGACCUGCGCCGUAUUAGCUAGUUGGUAAGGUAACGGCUUACCAAGGCAACGAUACGUAGCCGACCUGAGAGGGUGAUCGGCCACACUGGAACUGAGACACGGUCCAGACUCCUACGGGAGGCAGCAGUAGGGAAUCUUCCGCAAUGGGCGAAAGCCUGACGGAGCAACGCCGCGUGAGUGAUGAAGGUCUUCGGAUCGUAAAACUCUGUUAUUAGGGAAGAACAAACGUGUAAGUAACUGUGCACGUCUUGACGGUACCUAAUCAGAAAGCCACGGCUAACUACGUGCCAGCAGCCGCGGUAAUACGUAGGUGGCAAGCGUUAUCCGGAAUUAUUGGGCGUAAAGCGCGCGUAGGCGGUUUUUUAAGUCUGAUGUGAAAGCCCACGGCUCAACCGUGGAGGGUCAUUGGAAACUGGAAAACUUGAGUGCAGAAGA